rnacentral:rRNA from 1 species
UAGGGAAUCUUCCGCAAUGGACGCAAGUCUGACGGAGCAACGCCGCGUGAGUGAAGAAGGAUUUCGGUUCGUAAAACUCUGUUGUUAGAGAAGAACAGCGCAUAGAGUAACUGUUAUGCGUGUGACGGUAUCUAACCAGAAAGCCACGGCUAACUACGUGCCAGCAGCCGCGGUAAUACGUAGGUGGCAAGCGUUGUCCGGAUUUAUUGGGCGUAAAGCGAGCGCAGGCGGUCAAUUAAGUCUGAUGUGAAAGCCCCCGGCUCAACCGGAGAGGGUCAUUGGAAACUGGUUGACUUGAGUGCAGAAGAAGAGAGUGGAAUUCCAUGUGUAGCGGUGAAAUGCGUAGAUAUAUGGAGGAACACCAGUGGCGAAGGCGACUCUCUGGUCUGUAACUGACGCUGAGGCUCGAAAGCGUGGGUAGCAAACAGG